rnacentral:rRNA from 1 species
UUCGGGUUGUAAAGCUCUGUCAGGAGUUAAGAAAUAUAAGUAUGCUAAUACCAUAUUUAUUUGACGAAGGCUCCAAAGGAAGCCACGGCUAACUCUGUGCCAGCAGCCGCGGUAAUACAGAGGUGGCAAGCGUUGUUCGGAAUUAUUGGGCGUAAAGAGCACGUAGGUGGGUUUGUAAGUCAGAUGUGAAAGCCUUCUGUUCAACGGAAGAAUUGCAUCUGAAACUGCGAGUCUUGAGUGUAGGAGGGGAGAAUGGAACUUCUGGUGGAGCGGUGAAAUGCGUAGAUAUCAGAAGGAACACCGGCGGCGAAAGCGAUUCUCUGGCCUAUUACUGACACUCAGUGUGCGAAAGCUAGGGGAGCAAACGGGAUUAGAUACCCCGGUAGUCCUAGCCGUAAACGAUGGGCACUAAGUAGAGGGAAUUACCGAUGUUCUCUCUGCCGUAGCUAACGCAUUAAGUGCCCCGCCUGGGGAGUACGGCCGCAAGGCUAAAACUCAAAAGAAUUGACGGGGGCUCGCACAAGCGGUGGAGCAUGUGGCUUAAUUCGAUGCAACGCGAAGAACCUUACCGGGGCUUGACAUGGUAGAAGUAGAAACCCGAAAGGGUAACGAACGGUAUCCAGUCCGUAACUAUCACAGGUGUUGCAUGGCUGUCGUCAGCUCGUGUCGUGAGACGUUGGGUUAAGUCCCCUAACGAGCGAAACCCUUGUUUUUAGUUACCAGCGGGUUAUGCCGGGUACUCUAGAAAGACUGCCGUCGUCAAGACGGAGGAAGGUGGGGAUGACGUCAGGUCAUCAUGGCCCUUAUGCCCCGGGCUGCACAC